rnacentral:rRNA from 1 species
GACGAACGCUGGCGGCGUGCCUAAUACAUGCAAGUCGAACGCAGUGGGGACGGGUGAGUAACACGUGGGUAACCUCCCAUCAGAGGGGAUAAAACUUGGCAACAGGUGCUAAAGUGAAACUGAUGGAUGGACUCGCGGUGCAUUAGCUAGAUGGUGAGGGAACGGCGCACCAAGGCCACGAGGCAUAGCCGAGCUGAGAGGGUGAGCGGCCACACUGGAACUGAGACACGGCCCAGACUCCUACGGGAGGCAGCAGUAGGGAAUCUUGGGCAAUGGACGAAAGUCUGACCGAGCAACGCCGCGUGAGGGAAGAAGGUUUUCGGAUCGUAAAACUCUGUUGUUAGAGAAGCGGUAUCUAACCAGAAAGCCACGGCUAACUACGUGCCAGCAGCCGCGGUAAUAC